rnacentral:lncRNA from 1 species
ACAAAAUAGGUCUCUUUUACCUGAGUUCCUUGGAAAAAAUGCUUGUGAAUUGUAUUUUCAUAGGUUCUUCCCUUCAGGAAGAAAAGAGAAAGAGAGGAGAUAUAUAAGCUUGGAAGGACCACCUACUGUGAUGAAAGGUUGAGAUCACUUUUGAGCAUUUUCUAUAGAUCUCCCAGGCAUAAGGAAUACUGAUGACUGGAAUAUCCUCAAUCCUCCAUCAAACUCAACCUUCUAACUCAUAGAUUAGACAGCACUCAGAGAUACUUUCUAUCUGGGAAUACGUGAUGGGAAUCUUGAACACGGACAACUGCAACCAAAGUAUUUAAGAGGACUGCUAUUUUUACCAAGGAAUCAUAUUGAAGCCGGGCAGGAGAACUCAGAACAUCAGAGAUCCUGGAUGGGCCUGUGGAGAGUUGUUUGCAGAAAUCUCUUCAGAUCUAGGAUGAUUGGACGUGCACAGAAGCUGAAUCUAAGAUCUUGAACUACACUAUUAUUCAACGGGGAAGUCAUUUAGUAACAUAAUUGUUAGCACUUGUGUCUUGUGAAUGUUGUAAGAAGAGUGCAGGAAGGUUCUUUACAACCUUAUGAUCUUUGUCUUUUAAUGCAGGAAACAGUCACUGAGUAGUAUAAUGAGGACGUGAAACUUCACUGAAAUUUUCCCAGUAGAAAAUAAUCUUGUGAUAUCUUGGAAGAGGCAGAAGUGCCACCAGUUUCUUCACCUUAUCUUUCAGUUAUUAAUUUCUUCUGAGCACUUGCACCAAAACCCCAGAAGAUCUACAUGAAGGGUUGGAAAUAGUGGGAUACUCAAUGUCUGCAAUAUCUUUCAAAUAACAUAAUAAAUUUCUGCAGUAGCUAAGAAUGCUUUUUGAG